CGCGCGGAUGAGUCCGGUGCCCGUCUCCAUGGUGCUGAGGCGCGUGUCUCCGAUCUUCAACGCCAGGAUCUGGGCUCCGGGGGCAAUGCCGUUCCGCUCCGGCUCAUCUGGGAAGUGGCCUGCUGCUAUGCUCGCCACAUGUGUCCCAUGAGCCCCUGAACAGAGACAAGACCAUCACGGCUGUACACGUCAAGACGCAGGACAGAUUCCUACAAUACAGGGGAUCUACGUGAACUCUGACCUCCGCUGGUGACGAUGCAGAGAGUGUUUCCUUCGUCGUAGAUGUUAACGGAGUAGUUGAGCAUCUCAGCGUUUCCCAGAGUAGCAAACUCCUGCUUCUCUCUGUAGGAGGUCAGUACCGUGCAGCUGGACAGAUCUCCAGUCUCUGAGGUGUCUACCACAGCCCUGUAGAGGUUAGAGGUCAGUACCUUUAGGGGUUAGAGGUCACAAGGUAGCAGUUUAGGGGUUAGAUGUUACAGGGUAUCAGUUUAGGGGGUAGGGGUUAGAGGUUACGGGGUAUCAGUUUAGGGGGUAGAGGUUACGGGGUAUCAGUUUAGGGGGUAGAGGUUACGGGGUAUCAGUUUAGGGGGUAGAGGUUACGGGGUAUCAGUUUAGGGGGUAGAGGUUACGGGGUAGGGGUUAGAGGUUACGGGGUAUCAGUUUAGGGGUUAGAGGUUACGGGGUAUCAGUUUAGGGGUUAGAGGUUACGGGGUAGGGUUAGAGGUUACGGGGUAGGGUUAGAGGUUACGGGGUAUCAGUUUAGGGGUUAGAGGUUACGGGGUAUCAGUUUAGGGGUUAGAGGUUACGGGGUAGGGAUUAGAGGUUACGGGGUAGGGGUUAGAGGUUACGGGGUAACAGUUUA
ensembl:lncRNA